CCUACGGGUGUCAGCAGUGGGGAAUAUUGGGCAAUGGAGGAAACUCUGACCCAGCAACGCCGCGUGAAUGAUGAAGGUCUUCGGAUUGUAAAGCUCUUUUCUAAGGGAAGAAGACAGUGACGGUACCUUAGGAAUAAGACUCGGCUAACUACGUGCCAGCAGCCGCGGUAAUACGUAGGAGGCGAGCGUUAUCCGGAAUGACUGGGCGUAAAGGGUGCGUAGGUGGUUUGGGAAGUUAGUAGCGUAACUCCAAGGCUCAACCUUGGAAAUACUACUAAUACUGUUGGACUUGAGUGCAGGAGGGGCAAGCGGAAUGCCUGGUGUAGCGGUGGAAUGCGUAGAUAUUA
rnacentral:rRNA from 1 species